AUCAAGGCAAGGGUGAAAAGGUGUGGUAAGAGCACACCGGUUUUUUGGUAACAAAGAACGCAUGGAAAACCCCACCGAGAGCAAGACCAAAUAGAGAUGGCGAUGUUUUAUAUUAAAACAAUAAUCGUCUUUGGUUAGCCAUCAGGGUUGGUUGCUUGAGCUAAAGGGAGACUUUUAGCCUAGAUAAAUGACUUGUUUAAAUGACAAAACCCGGCUUACAGUUUAUCUGGCAAA
rnacentral:RNase_P_RNA from 1 species